GACAGAGGGUGCGAACGUUGCUCGGAAUCAUUGGGCGUAAAGCGCGUGUAGGCGGCAUGGCACGUCGGGUGUGAAAGCCCGGGGCUCAACCCCGGCAGUGCACCCGAAACGACGAUGCCUGAGUGCUGGAGAGGCGGGUGGAAUUCCCGGUGUAGAGGUGAAAUUCGUAGGUAUCGGGAGGAACACCGGUGGCGAAGGCGACCCGCUGGCCAGCGACUGACGCUGAGACGCGAAAGCGUGGGGAGCAAACAGG
rnacentral:rRNA from 1 species